rnacentral:lncRNA from 12 species
UCUGGCAAGGAAUAAAAAUAAUAACAGGUUUCCAGCGUGGUGACAGGAAAAAGGCUACCGGCAAAAUCCGAUGAUGGACAUAAAGAAUAAAAAGAAGACAAAACAAGAUUCCAGUUUGAGAAAGAUGCGGAGAACAGACACAAAACCAGGAAGGAAAACAGGAGAUUGUUAAUGAUCACCAAGAUUCUUAAAAGAAGCAAGAGUUCUUACUAAUUCAUCUAGGUCGGCCCUCUCACGCUCUCCCUUCUCCACCUCAUCAGCACCUAUUGUUACAGAGCUACAAUCACAAGACAAAGGUACCUUUCCUUUUGAUCCAUUUGGAAGGAGCUACGCUGCAGUGUUACCUGCUGGUUCUGCAUGAAGAAAUUACAAUUUUUCUUCCUACGCAUGUGAAUAAAAAUGAUGUGAACUAGUGUUGAUUUGGUAAUAAGAAAAUAAAAAGAUUUCCCCUUCUCUCCA